CAAGGGGCGGAGCUACACGGGACAAGAGCCAGGCUGCUGCAGAUCAAUCCUUCCUGCACUGCCAGCCAGAUCAGUGGAAAAAGUCCAUAAAUUGUGAAAUAAUAUCGCUGAGGAUGCAUUGCAUUUUGGACACCGGCCAGAUUCCUCUGCAACUAAAUGUUUUCUCUGACCUUGUUCCAUAUAUGCCCUAAAAAGUGUUUUAACAUGAACCUCCUGUAAGACAGAAGUCCUCAGUGCCCUAAGGGUCCUGUCAUAAUAUUGAAAUAAAGCAUUGUCAUUCAUUAAAGACGGUAUAUCCCUGAACCAGA